UUAAGCGACUAAGCGUACACGGUGGAUGCCCUGGCAGUCAGAGGCGAUGAAGGACGUGCUAAUCUGCGAUAAGCGUCGGUGAGGUGAUAUGAACCGUUAUAACCGGCGAUUUCCGAAUGGGGAAACCCAGUGUGUUUCGACACACUAUCAUUAACUGAAUCCAUAGGUUAAUGAGGCGAACCGGGGGAACUGAAACAUCUAAGUACCCCGAGGAAAAGAAAUCAACCGAGAUUCCCCCAGUAGCGGCGAGCGAACGGGAGCAGCCCAGAGCCUGAAUCAGUGUGUGUGUUAGUGGAAGCGUCUGGAAAAGGCGCGCGAUACAGGGUGACAGCCCCGUACACAAAAAUGCACAUGCUGUGAGCUCGAUGAGUAGGGCGGGACACGUGGUAUCCUGUCUGAAUAUGGGGGGACCAUCCUCCAAGGCUAAAUACUCCUGACUGACCGAUAGUGAACCAGUACCGUGAGGGAAAGGCGAAAAGAACCCCGGCGAGGGGAGUGAAAAAGAACCUGAAACCGUGUACGUACAAGCAGUGGGAGCCUCUUUAUGGGGUGACUGCGUACCUUUUGUAUAAUGGGUCAGCGACUUAUAUUCUGUAGCAAGGUUAACCGAAUAGGGGAGCCGAAGGGAAACCGAGUCUUAACUGGGCGUUAAGUUGCAGGGUAUAGACCCGAAACCCGGUGAUCUAGCCAUGGGCAGGUUGAAGGUUGGGUAACACUAACUGGAGGACCGAACCGACUAAUGUUGAAAAAUUAGCGGAUGACUUGUGGCUGGGGGUGAAAGGCCAAUCAAACCGGGAGAUAGCUGGUUCUCCCCGAAAGCUAUUUAGGUAGCGCCUCGUGAAUUCAUCUCCGGGGGUAGAGCACUGUUUCGGCAAGGGGGUCAUCCCGACUUACCAACCCGAUGCAAACUGCGAAUACCGGAGAAUGUUAUCACGGGAGACACACGGCGGGUGCUAACGUCCGUCGUGAAGAGGGAAACAACCCAGACCGCCAGCUAAGGUCCCAAAGUCAUGGUUAAGUGGGAAACGAUGUGGAAGGCCCAGACAGCCAGGAUGUUGGCUUAGAAGCAGCCAUCAUUUAAAGAAAGCGUAAUAGCUCACUGGUCGAGUCGGCCUGCGCGGAAGAUGUAACGGGGCUAAACCAUGCACCGAAGCUGCGGCAGCGACACUAUGUGUUGUUGGGUAGGGGAGCGUUCUGUAAGCCUGUGAAGGUGUACUGUGAGGUAUGCUGGAGGUAUCAGAAGUGCGAAUGCUGACAUAAGUAACGAUAAAGCGGGUGAAAAGCCCGCUCGCCGGAAGACCAAGGGUUCCUGUCCAACGUUAAUCGGGCAGGGUGAGUCGACCCCUAAGGCGAGGCCGAAAGGCGUAGUCGAUGGGAAACAGGUUAAUAUUCCUGUACUUGGUGUUACUGCGAAGGGGGGACGGAGAAGGCUAUGUUGGCCGGGCGACGGUUGUCCCGGUUUAAGCGUGUAGGCUGGUUUUCCAGGCAAAUCCGGAAAAUCAAGGCUGAGGCGUGAUGACGAGGCACUACGGUGCUGAAGCAACAAAUGCCCUGCUUCCAGGAAAAGCCUCUAAGCAUCAGGUAACAUCAAAUCGUACCCCAAACCGACACAGGUGGUCAGGUAGAGAAUACCAAGGCGCUUGAGAGAACUCGGGUGAAGGAACUAGGCAAAAUGGUGCCGUAACUUCGGGAGAAGGCACGCUGAUAUGUAGGUGAAGCGACUUGCUCGUGGAGCUGAAAUCAGUCGAAGAUACCAGCUGGCUGCAACUGUUUAUUAAAAACACAGCACUGUGCAAACACGAAAGUGGACGUAUACGGUGUGACGCCUGCCCGGUGCCGGAAGGUUAAUUGAUGGGGUUAGCGGUAACGCGAAGCUCUUGAUCGAAGCCCCGGUAAACGGCGGCCGUAACUAUAACGGUCCUAAGGUAGCGAAAUUCCUUGUCGGGUAAGUUCCGACCUGCACGAAUGGCGUAAUGAUGGCCAGGCUGUCUCCACCCGAGACUCAGUGAAAUUGAACUCGCUGUGAAGAUGCAGUGUACCCGCGGCAAGACGGAAAGACCCCGUGAACCUUUACUAUAGCUUGACACUGAACAUUGAGCCUUGAUGUGUAGGAUAGGUGGGAGGCUUUGAAGUGUGGACGCCAGUCUGCAUGGAGCCGGCCUUGAAAUACCACCCUUUAAUGUUUGAUGUUCUAACGUUGGCCCCUGAUCGGGGUUGCGGACAGUGUCUGGUGGGUAGUUUGACUGGGGCGGUCUCCUCCUAAAGAGUAACGGAGGAGCACGAAGGUUGGCUAAUCCUGGUCGGACAUCAGGAGGUUAGUGCAAUGGCAUAAGCCAGCUUGACUGCGAGCGUGACGGCGCGAGCAGGUGCGAAAGCAGGUCAUAGUGAUCCGGUGGUUCUGAAUGGAAGGGCCAUCGCUCAACGGAUAAAAGGUACUCCGGGGAUAACAGGCUGAUACCGCCCAAGAGUUCAUAUCGACGGCGGUGUUUGGCACCUCGAUGUCGGCUCAUCACAUCCUGGGGCUGAAGUAGGUCCCAAGGGUAUGGCUGUUCGCCAUUUAAAGUGGUACGCGAGCUGGGUUUAGAACGUCGUGAGACAGUUCGGUCCCUAUCUGCCGUGGGCGCUGGAGAACUGAGGGGGGCUGCUCCUAGUACGAGAGGACCGGAGUGGACGCAUCACUGGUGUUCGGGUUGUCAUGCCAAUGGCACUGCCCGGUAGCUAAAUGCGGAAGAGAUAAGUGCUGAAAGCAUCUAAGCACGAAACUUGCCCCGAGAUGAGUUCUCCCUGAGACUUAGAGUCUCCUGAAGGAACGUUGAAGACGACGACGUUGAUAGGCCGGGUGUGUAAGCGCAGCGAUGCGUUGAGCUAACCGGUACUAAUGAACCGUGAGGCUUAACCUU
rnacentral:rRNA from 1 species